UUGAUACUGUCAGACUAGAGUUUAUUUGACGUAGGCGGAAUGUAGCAUGUAGCGGUGAAAUGCUUAGAGAUGCUACAGAACACCGAUAGCGAAGGCAGCUUACGAAGAUAUAACUGACGCUCAUGCACGAAAGCGUGGGGACCAAACAGGAUUAGAUACCCUGGUAGUCCACGCUGUAAACGAUGAUAACUGGCUUUUGGCGAUACACAGUCAGAGGCUGAGAGAAAUCAAUAAGUUAUGCGCCUGGGGAGUACGACGGCAACGUUGAAACUCAAAGGAAUUGACGGGGGCCCGCACAAGCGGAGGAGCAUGUGGUUUAAUUCGAUGAUACGCGAGGAACCUUACCUGGGCUUAAAUGGGGAGUGACAGCUGCUGAAAGGUGGUUUUCUUCGGACACUCUCCAAGGUGCUGCAUGGUUGUCGUCAGCUCGUGCCGUGAGGUGUCGGGUUAAGUCCCAUAACGAGCGCAA
rnacentral:rRNA from 1 species